GAUGAACGCUGGCGGCGUGCCUAAUACAUGCAAGUCGAGCGAACGGACGAGAAGCUUGCUUCUCUGAUGUUAGCGGCGGACGGGUGAGUAACACGUGGAUAACCUACCUAUAAGACUGGGAUAACUUCGGGAAACCGUAGCUAAUACCGGAUAAUAUUUUGAACCGCAUGGUUCAAAAGUGAAAGACGGUCUUGCUGUCACUUAUAGAUGGAUCCGCGCUGCAUUAGCUAGUUGUUAAGGUAACGGCUUACCAAGGCAACGAUGCAUAGCCGACCUGAGAGGGUGAUCGGCCACACUGGAACUGAGACACGGUCCAGACUCCUACGGGAGGCAGCAGUAGGGAAUCUUCCGCAAUGGGCGAAAGCCUGACGGAGCAACGCCGCGUGAGUGAUGAAGGUCUUCGGAUCGUAAACCUCUGUUAUUAGGGAAGAACAUAUGUGUAAGUAACUGUGCACAUCUUGACGGUACCUAAUCAGAAAGCCACGGCUAACUACGUG
rnacentral:rRNA from 1 species